UAGAAAUGUAGAAAGCCUCGAGACAAAGC
rnacentral:piRNA from 1 species